rnacentral:misc_RNA from 1 species
CAACCCUCAAGCCCAGCUUGGUGUUGGGAUCUGUCUUUAUUGACAGUCCUCAAAUUGAUUGGCGGUCACGUCGAGCUUCCAUAGCGUAGUAAUCAUACACCUCGUUACUGGUAAUCGUCGCGGCCACGCCGUUAAACCCCAACUUCUGAA